GAUGAACGCUGGCGGCGUGCCUAAUACAUGCAAGUCGAGCGAACGGACGAGAAGCUUGCUUCUCUGAUGUUAGCGGCGGACGGGUGGGUAACACGUGGUUAACCUAACUAUAAGACUGGGACAACUUCGGGAAACCGGAGCUAAUACCGGAUAAUAUUUUGCACCGCAUGGUUCAAAAGUGUAAGACGGUCUUGCUGUCACUUAUAGAUGGAUCCGCGCUGCAUUAGCUAGUUGGUAAGGUAAAGGCUUACCAAGGCAACGAUGCAUAGCCGACCUGAGAGGGUGAUCGAGCAGACUGGAACUGAGGCUCGGUCCAGACUCCUGCAGGGGGAAGCAGUAGGGAAUCUUCCGCGAUGGGCGAGAGCCUGACGGUGCAACGCCGCGUGAGGGAUGAAGGUCUUCUGAUCGGAGAGCGCUGUAAUUAGGGGGGAACAUAUGUGUAAGUAACUGUGCACAUCAUGACGGUACCUGAUCAGAAAGCCACGGCUAACUACGUG
rnacentral:rRNA from 1 species